UUCCGCGGUCAUAGCGGAGGGGGUACACCCGGCUCCAUUCCGAACCCGGAAGUUAAGCCCUUCAGCGCCGAUGGUACUGCACGGGCAACUGUGUGGGAGAGUAGGUCGCCGCGGACC
rnacentral:rRNA from 1 species